rnacentral:rRNA from 1 species
CAGUCGCCACGGUAAUACGAAGGGGGCUAGCGUUGCUCGGAAUCACUGGGCGUAAAGGGUGCGUAGGCGGGUCUUUAAGUCAGAGGUGAAAGCCUGGAGCUCAACUCCAGAACUGCCUUUGAUACUGAGGAUCUCGAGUUCGGGAGAGGUGAGUGGAACUGCGAGUGUAGAGGUGAAAUUCGUAGAUAUUCGCAAGAACACCAGUGGCGAAGGCGGCUCACUGGCCCGAUACUGACGCUGAGGCACGAAAGCGUGGGGAGCAAACAGGAUUAGAUACCCCAGUAGUCCCUGUCUCUUAUAC